ACGGGAGGCAGCAGUGGGGAAUAUUGCACAAUGGGGGGAAACCCUGAUGCAGCGACGCCGCGUGAGUGAAGAAGUAUUUCGGUAUGUAAAGCUCUAUCAGCAGGAAAGAAAAUGACGGUACCUGACUAAGAAGCCCCGGCUAACUACGUGCCAGCAGCCGCGGUAAUACGUAGGGGGCAAGCGUUAUCCGGAUUUACUGGGUGUAAAGGGAGCGUAGACGGCUUUGCAAGUCUGAAGUGAAAGCCCGGGGCUCAACCCCGGAACUGCUUUGGAAACUGUAGAGCUAGAGCGCAGGAGAGGUUAGCGGAAUUCCUAGUGUAGCGGUGAAAUGCGUAGAUAUUAGGAGGAACACCAGUGGCGAAGGCGGCUUACUGGACUGUAACUGACGUUGAGGCUCGAAAGCGUGGGGAGCAAACAGGAUUAGAUACCCUGGUA
rnacentral:rRNA from 1 species